GGGCAACCUGCCUAUAAGACUGGGAUAACUUCGGGAAACCGGAGCUAAUACCGGAGACGUUCUUUUCUCGCAUGAGAGAAGAUGGAAAGACGGUUUACGCUGUCACUUAUAGAUGGGCCCGCGGCGCAUUAGCUAGUUGGUGAGGUAAUGGCUCACCAAGGCGACGAUGCGUAGCCGACCUGAGAGGGUGAUCGGCCACACUGGGACUGAGACACGGCCCAGACUCCUACGGGAGGCAGCAGUAGGGAAUCUUCCGCAAUGGACGAAAGUCUGACGGAGCAACGCCGCGUGAACGAAGAAGGCCUUCGGGUCGUAAAGUUCUGUUGUUAGGGAAGAACAAGUACCAGAGUAACUGCUGGUACCUUGACGGUACCUAACCAGAAAGCCACGG
rnacentral:rRNA from 1 species